UACGAACUGUGCAAACGUUAUUCGGAAUCACUGGGCUUAAAGGGUGCGUAGGCGGCUACUUAAGUAGGGUGUGAAAUCCCCCGGCUCAACCGGGGAACUGCGCUCUAAACUGGGUGGCUGGAGUGAGAUAGGGGUGUGUGGAACUUCCGGUGGAGCGGUGAAAUGUGUUGAUAUCGGAAGGAACGCCCGUGGCGAAAGCACUCUGCUGGGCCGACACUGACACUGAGAGACGAAAGCUAGGGGAGCGAAUGGG
rnacentral:rRNA from 1 species